rnacentral:rRNA from 1 species
GACGAACCGUGCAACCGUUGUUCGGAAUCACUGGGCUUAAAGGGCGCGUAGGCGGGCCAGCCAGUCUGUGGUGAAAGCCUCCAGCUUAACUGGAGAAGUGCCGUGGAUACUGCUGGCCUCGAGGAGGGUAGGGGCAUCUGGAACGGUCGGUGGAGCGGUGAAAUGCGUUGAUAUCGGUUGGAACGCCGGAGGCGAAAGCGGGUCACUGGGCUUGUCCUGACGCUAAGACGCGAAAGCUAGGGGAGCGAACGGG